rnacentral:rRNA from 1 species
ACGGGGUGCAGCAGGCGCGAAAACUUUACAAUGCGGGAAACCGUGAUAAGGGAACUCCGAGUGUCCGUAAAUGCGGACUGUCCGUAUGUUUAAAAAGCAUGCGAAGAAAGGGCCGGGCAAGACCGGUGCCAGCCGCCGCGGUAAUACCGGCGGCUCGAGUGGUGGCCACUAUUAUUGGGCUUAAAGCGUUCGUAGCUGGGUUGUUAAGUUUCUUGGGAAAUCUACCGGCUUAACCGAUAGGCGUCCAAGGGAUACUGGCAAUCUAGGGACCGGGAGAGGUGAGGGGUACUUCAGGGGUAGGAGUGAAAUCCUGUAAUCCUUGGGGGACCACCUGUGGCGAAGGCGCCUCACCAGAACGGCUCCGACAGUGAGGGACGAAAGCUGGGGGAGCAAACCGGAUUAGAUACCCGGGUAGUCCCAGCCGUAAACGAUGCGCGUUAGGUGUAUCGAUGACCACGAGUCAUCGAGGUGCCGAAGGGAAACCGUGAAACGCGCCGCCUGGGAAGUACGGUCGCAAGGCUGAAACUUAAAGGAAUUGGCGGGGGAGCAC